rnacentral:rRNA from 1 species
GGAUCCAGACUUUGAUCAUGGCUCAGGAUGAACGCUAGCUACAGGCUUAACACAUGCAAGUCGAGGGGCAGCGGGAUUGAAGCUUGCUUCAAUUGCCGGCGACCGGCGCACGGGUGAGUAACGCGUAUCCAACCUUCCGUACACUCAGGGAUAGCCUUUCGAAAGAAAGAUUAAUACCUGAUGGUAUGAUGAGAUUGCAUGAUAGCAUCAUUAAAGAUUUAUCGGUGUACGAUGGGGAUGCGUUCCAUUAGGUAGUAGGCGGGGUAACGGCCCACCUAGCCAACGAUGGAUAGGGGUUCUGAGAGGAAGGUCCCCCACAUUGGAACUGAGACACGGUCCAAACUCCUACGGGAGGCAGCAGUGAGGAAUAUUGGUCAAUGGACGAGAGUCUGAACCAGCCAAGUAGCGUGAAGGAUGAAGGUCCUACGGAUUGUAAACUUCUUUUAUAAGGGAAUAAACCCUCCCACGUGUGGGAGCUUGUAUGUACCUUAUGAAUAAGCAUCGGCUAACUCCGUGCCAGCAGCCGCGGUAAUACGGAGGAUGCGAGCGUUAUCCGGAUUUAUUGGGUUUAAAGGGAGCGCAGACGGGUCGUUAAGUCAGCUGUGAAAGUUUGGGGCUCAACCUUAAAAUUGCAGUUGAUACUGGCGUCCUUGAGUGCGGUUGAGGUGUGCGGAAUUCGUGGUGUAGCGGUGAAAUGCUUAGAUAUCACGAAGAACUCCGAUUGCGAAGGCAGCACACUAAUCCGUAACUGACGUUCAUGCUCGAAAGUGUGGGUAUCAAACAGGAUUAGAUACCCUGGUAGUCCACGCGGUAAACGAUGGAUACUCGCUGUUGGCGAUAUACUGUCAGCGGCUUAGCGAAAGCGUUAAGUAUCCCACCUGGGGAGUACGCCGGCAACGGUGCAACUCAAAGGAAUUGACGG